GACGAACGCUGGCGGCGUGCUUAACACAUGCAAGUCGAGCGGUAAGGCCCUUUCGGGGGUACGACGAGCGGCGAACGGGUGAGUAACACGUGGGUGACCUGCCCUCAGCUCUGGGAUAAGCCUGGGAAACUGGGUCUAAUACUGGAUAUGACUCCACGGUGCAUGUCGGUGGGGUGGAAAGCCUUGUGCGGCUGAGGAUGGGCCCGCGGCCUAUCAGCUUGUUGGUGGGGUGAGGCCUACCAAGGCGACGACGGGUAGCCGGCCUGAGAGGGCGACCGGCCACACUGGGACUGAGA
rnacentral:rRNA from 1 species